rnacentral:rRNA from 2 species
CGAUGGGGCGGCCUGCUUAUGAUGCAAGUCGAACGAACUCUGGUAUUGAUUGGUGCUUGCAUCAUGAUUUACAUUUGAGUGAGUGGCGAACUGGUGAGUAACACGUGGGAAACCUGCCCAGAAGCGGGGGAUAACACCUGGAAACAGAUGCUAAUACCGCAUAACAACUUGGACCGCAUGGUCCGAGUUUGAAAGAUGGCUUCGGCUAUCACUUUUGGAUGGUCCCGCGGCGUAUUAGCUAGAUGGUGGGGUAACGGCUCACCAUGGCAAUGAUACGUAGCCGACCUGAGAGGGUAAUCGGCCACAUUGGGACUGAGACACGGCCCAAACUCCUACGGGAGGCAGCAGUAGGGAAUCUUCCACAAUGGACGAAAGUCUGAUGGAGCAACGCCGCGUGAGUGAAGAAGGGUUUCGGCUCGUAAAACUCUGUUGUUAAAGAAGAACAUAUCUGAGAGUAACUGUUCAGGUAUUGACGGUAUUUAACCAGAAAGCCACGGCUAACUACGUGCCAGCAGCCGCGGUAAUACGUAGGUGGCAAGCGUUGUCCGGAUUUAUUGGGCGUAAAGCGAGCGCAGGCGGUUUUUUAAGUCUGAUGUGAAAGCCUUCGGCUCAACCGAAGAAGUGCAUCGGAAACUGGGAAACUUGAGUGCAGAAGAGGACAGUGGAACUCCAUGUGUAGCGGUGAAAUGCGUAGAUAUAUGGAAGAACACCAGUGGCGAAGGCGGCUGUCUGGUCUGUAACUGACGCUGAGGCUCGAAAGUAUGGGUAGCAAACAGGAUUAGAUACCCUGGUAGUCCAUACCGUAAACGAUGAAUGCUAAGUGUUGGAGGGUUUCCGCCCUUCAGUGCUGCAGCUAACGCAUUAAGCAUUCCGCCUGGGGAGUACGGCCGCAAGGCUGAAACUCAAAGGAAUUGACGGGGGCCCGCACAAGCGGUGGAGCAUGUGGUUUAAUUCGAAGCUACGCGAAGAACCUUACCAGGUCUUGACAUACUAUGCAAAUCUAAGAGAUUAGACGUUCCCUUCGGGGACAUGGAUACAGGUGGUGCAUGGUUGUCGUCAGCUCGUGUCGUGAGAUGUUGGGUUAAGUCCCGCAACGAGCGCAACCCUUAUUAUCAGUUGCCAGCAUUAAGUUGGGCACUCUGGUGAGACUGCCGGUGACAAACCGGAGGAAGGUGGGGAUGACGUCAAAUCAUCAUGCCCCUUAUGACCUGGGCUACACACGUGCUACAAUGGAUGGUACAACGAGUUGCGAACUCGCGAGAGUAAGCUAAUCUCUUAAAGCCAUUCUCAGUUCGGAUUGUAGGCUGCAACUCGCCUACAUGAAGUCGGAAUCGCUAGUAAUCGCGGAUCAGCAUGCCGCGGUGAAUACGUUCCCGGGCCUUGUACACACCGCCCGUCACACCAUGAGAGUUUGUAACACCCAAAGUCGGUGGGGUAACCUUUUAGGAACCAGCCGCCUAAGGUGAACAGAGGUUUG